rnacentral:rRNA from 1 species
CCAGACUCCUACGGGAGGCAGCAGUAGGGAAUCUUCGGCAAUGGGGGCAACCCUGACCGAGCAACGCCGCGUGAGUGAAGAAGGUUUUCGGAUCGUAAAGCUCUGUUGUAAGUCAAGAACGAGUGUGAGAGUGGAAAGUUCACACUGUGACGGUAGCUUACCAGAAAGGGACGGCUAACUACGUGCCAGCAGCCGCGGUAAUACGUAGGUCCCGAGCGUUGUCCGGAUUUAUUGGGCGUAAAGCGAGCGCAGGCGGUUUGAUAAGUCUGAAGUUAAAGGCUGUGGCUCAACCAUAGUUCGCUUUGGAAACUGUCAAACUUGAGUGCAGAAGGGGAGAGUGGAAUUCCAUGUGUAGCGGUGAAAUGCGUAGAUAUAUGGAGGAACACCGGUGGCGAAAGCGGCUCUCUGGUCUGUAACUGACGCUGAGGCUCGAAAGCGUGGGGAGCGAACAGGAUUAGAUACCCUGGUAGUCCACGCCGUAAACGAUGAGUGCUAGGUGUUGGAUCCUUUCCGGGAUUCAGUGCCGCAGCUAACGCAUUAAGCACUCCGCCUGGGGAGUACGACCGCAAGGUUGAAACUCAAAGGAAUUGACGGGGGCCCCGCACAAG